CCUACGGGUGGCAGCAGUCGAGAAUCAUUCACAAUGGGGGAAACCCUGAUGGUGCGACGCCGCGUGGGGGAAUGAAGGUCUUCGGAUUGUAAACCCCUGUCAUGUGGGAGCAAAUUAAAAAGAUAGUACCACAAGAGGAAGAGACGGCUAACUCUGUGCCAGCAGCCGCGGUAAUACAGAGGUCUCAAGCGUUGUUCGGAAUCACUGGGCGUAAAGCGUGCGGAGGCUGUUUCGUAAGUCGUGUGUGAAAGGCGCGGGCUCAACCCGCGGACGGCACAUGAUACUGCGAGACUAGAGUAAUGGAGGGGGAACCGGAAUUCUCGGUGUAGCAGUGAAAUGCGUAGAUAUCGAGAGGAACACUCGUGGCGAAGGCGGGUUACUGGACAUUAACUGACGCUGAGGCACGAAGGCCAGGGGAGCGAAAGGGAUUAGAUACCCGAGUAGUC
rnacentral:rRNA from 1 species